rnacentral:rRNA from 1 species
CUACGGGAGGCUGCAGUGGGGAAUAUUGCACAAUGGGCGCAAGCCUGAUGCAGCCAUGCCGCGUGUAUGAAGAAGGCCUUCGGGUUGUAAAGUACUUUCAGCGGGGAGGAAGGGAGUAAAGUUAAUACCUUUGCUCAUUGACGUUACCCGCAGAAGAAGCACCGGCUAACUCCGUGCGAGCAGCCGCGGUAAUACGGAGGGUGCAAGCGUUAAUCGGAAUUACUGGGCGUAAAGCGCACGCAGGCGGUUUGUUAAGUCAGAUGUGAAAUCCCCGGGCUCAACCUGGGAACUGCAUCUGAUACUGGCAAGCUUGAGUCUCGUAGAGGGGGGUAGAAUUCCAGGUGUAGCGGUGAAAUGCGUAGAGAUCUGGAGGAAUACCGGUGGCGAAGGCGGCCCCCUGGACGAAGACUGACGCUCAGGUGCGAAAGCGUGGGGAGCAAACAGGAUUAGAUACCCGUGUAGUC